UAAUAGCUCACUGGUCGAGUCGGCCUGCGCGGAAGAUGUAACGGGGCUAAACCAUGCACCGAAGCUGCGGCAGCGACGCUUAUGCGUUGUUGGGUAGGGGAGCGUUCUGUAAGCCUGUGAAGGUGUACUGUGAGGUAUGCUGGAGGUAUCAGAAGUGCGAAUGCUGACAUAAGUAACGAUAAAGCGGGUGAAAAGCCCGCUCGCCGGAAGACC
rnacentral:rRNA from 1 species